UACGUAGGGGGCAAGCGUUGUUCGGAAUUACUGGGCGUAAAGGGCGCGUAGGCGGCAUGGCAAGUCAGGAGUGAAAGGCCUGGGCUCAACCGAGGAACUGCUUUUGAUACUGCCAAGCUAGAGUGCGGAAGGGGCAACUGGAAUUCCCAGUGUAGCGGUGAAAUGCGUAGAUAUCUGGAGGAACACCGGUGGCGAAGGCGGCAUCCUGGACCGAUACGGACGCUGAGGAGCGAAAGCCAGGGGAGCAAACGGG
rnacentral:rRNA from 1 species